rnacentral:rRNA from 1 species
CACGUAGGGCGCGAGCGUUGUCCGGAUUUAUUGGGCGUAAAGAGCUCGUAGGCGGCUUGUCGCGUCGAAUGUGAAAUCUCAGGGCUCAACUCUGACAUUGCAUUCGAUACGGGCAGGCUAGAGUUCGGUAGGGGAGACUGGAAUUCCUGGUGUAGCGGUGAAAUGCGCAGAUAUCAGGAGGAACACCGGUGGCGAAGGCGGGUCUCUGGGCAGUAACUGACGCUGAGGAGCGAAAGCGUGGGGAGCGAACAGG